GUGUUGUUAAAAUGUUAACUCGCAAUUGUACGGGCCAAUUAGUAGUAUAGCAAGACAAGUACGAGGUCGUACCCACGAGGACUGAGAAGUUAAAAUUAGUUAUGUACUUAGAUUACCAAAUUCAAGAAAGUAGGAGGUUAAGUCUAAAAUAGAAUUUAAAGCAAGAGUGAUUGUAAUUGUUGAACAAAUGAGGCAAAACGAAAUUUCAAACAAAAGCAAAGUGAACAAAUGUAACAAAGAGUACUUUUGUAGGCUGGAAACAGAUUGGGAGACUAGGGCAUUCGAUUCACCAUAACAAUUCAAUUCUGGGUUAUAAGGAGUCAAGUGACAAGUCUCAUUCGAAUUCAAAGAUUGAUUCUAGCUAAAGUAUGAUUAGGCCAUGGUGUCUGGUCCUAACCCUGUGCUCCUAAUUCCCUAACUUGAUCAUUUGUUGUCUAAUCUAAAUUAAGCAUUAGGAACCCAUUAAGCAUAGAAGAACAAUUUAAACAACCAAGCAUGUAUCUAAUCCCUGUUGUCGAAUGUCCAUACAUACUUUUCUUAUUCAUAGUUCAAUUCAAAUCAAAGCAUGGUGUCUACUCUUGAUUCAAACCAAGGUAGCUAAUAUACAAGUUCUAAUGGUGAUCAAUCAUCCAAACAAGCAUAUUAACUGAUAAGCAUAAAGAAUAGGAAUAUGAAUCAUGAAUCAAACUUGAAACUCAAAACUUCAACUUAUAAACCCAGAAUAUUCAUGUUAGGUUACAUCAUAGCCCUAGUUAUGAAUUUAGCUACUCAUAAUGGAAAUGAAACUUAAGCA
rnacentral:lncRNA from 1 species